ACAGGGUGCAGUGGCAUGUGCCUGUAGUCCCAGCUAUUUGGGAGGCUGAGCCAGGAGGAUCACUUGAGUCCAGGAGUUCUGGGCUGUGGUGUGCUAUGCUGAUUGGGGGUCCACACUAAGUUUGGCAUCAGUAUGGUGACCUCCUGGGAGCGGAGGGCCACCAGGUUGCCUAAGAAGGGGUGAACCGGUCCAGGUCAGAAAUGGAGCAGGUCAAAGCUCCCGUGCUGGUUAGUAGUGGGUUCAUGCCUAUGAAUAGCCAUUGCACUGAAGCCUGGGCAACAUAAUGAGACCCCAGUA
ensembl:misc_RNA Metazoa_SRP Metazoan signal recognition particle RNA